rnacentral:rRNA from 1 species
AUUGAACGCUGGCGGCAUGCUUUACACAUGCAAGUCGAACGGUAACAGGUUAAGCUGACGAGUGGCGAACGGGUGAGUAAUGCAUCGGAACGUGCCCGAUCGUGGGGGAUAACGCAGCGAAAGCUGCGCUAGUACCGCAUACGAUCUGAGGAUGAAAGCGGGGGACCGUAAGGCCUCGCGCGAUCGGAGCGGCCGAUGUCAGAUUAGGUAGUUGGUGGGGUAAAGGCCCACCAAGCCGACGAUCUGUAGCUGGUCUGAGAGGACGACCAGCCACACGGGGACUGAGACACGGCCCAGACUCCUACGGGAGGCAGCAGUGGGGAAUGUUGGACAAUGGGCGAAAGCCUGAUCCAGCAGUGCCGCGUGCAGGAAGAAGGCCUUCGGGUUGUAAACUGCUUUUGUACGGAGCGAAAAGGUCCUUUCUAAUACAAGGGGCUCAUGACGGUACCGUAAGAAUAAGCACCGGCUAACUACGUGCCAGCAGCCGCCGCGG